UAUGUUUAUAUUCGUUUCCAGUGGAAUAAAUAUCAAGAAAGCUGUGCUCUUGAAUAUUUUUGCAUUUUUUAUAUUAAAAUUAUUGGUCAUUCUAAAUACAGUACAGGGAACAGUUUUUGUGCGCCAGUCAGCUCAUCGAAUCACCCACCACCGCUUCUCAGUUUAACUUUGUUUACAGUGGAGUGAACAUCCAGUUUGUUGGUUUCUUGAAUAUUUUUUCAUUUUUACAUUAAAAUUAUUGGUCUUUCUAAAAUUUAGUUCACAAAUUGAUAAUAUACAGUGCAAAAAUUAUUAUGAAAUGCGAAGAAGGCAUUAGAACCAAUGCACUCUGUAAAGAAUAUGGCAUGUCAUCAUCGACUGCCUUUACAAUCAGCUGUUUGAUAUGUAAACAAAGCUGCCGGGAAUACGACAUACACACCUCAAAGUAAGUUAAAAUUCAGCAUUCUAUUGUUUUUUAUUUAUUAUUGUACAGUAUACUGUACAGUACAGUCCUGUAUUUGGUUUAUAUUUAAUGAUUUGGUAAUUCUAUUACUGGUAUACAGUACUUUGUAUGUACUUUUUCUAUGAGUUGGAACCAAUUACCCAAUAUCCCAUUGAAAUAAUAAAUUCAGUUAACGAAAUUUUCAGUUAAUGAACGACUCUGUGGAACCAAUUGUGUUCGUUGGUCGAAGAACCACUGUAUAUGCCCAUACCCACCGAAAUCUCAUUUGUGUUACUCCCUUAGUUUGACAGGCAUUAGGAGAAAACCAGAGAUAGAAAAGGUUCUUUUCCCCAUAUGAGAUGUCAUCCAAAUGACCAAUUUCUCCUUUCUAUCACUUUAUUGAAAUUUUUAGGCUAGUCACUCUAUAUAUUGAGUACUCGGUGUACAGUGUUCAGGCUAUCAGCUGGUUGAUGUCCCACACACACACUGUGAAGUUUUUUUGUUGUGCAAUAAAUAUAAAUGAUCUCUGGCAGUUAAGUCCACCACUCCAGGAACUGUUGGGGCAGGUUCUAUAUAGGGCCACCACUCCAGGAACUGUUGGGGCAGGUUCUAUAUAGGGCCACCACUCCAGGAACUGUUGGGGCAGGUUCUAUAUAGGGCCACCACUCCAGGAACUGUUGGGGCAGGUUCUAUAUAAGGCCACCACUCCAGGAACUGUUGGGGCAGGUUCUAUAUAGGGCCACCACUCCAGGAACUGUUGGGGCAGGUUCUAUAUAAGGCCACCACUCCAGGAACUGUUGGGGCAGGUUCUAUAUAGGGCCACCACUCCAGGAACUGUUGGGGCAGGUUCUAUAUAGGGCCACCACUCCAGGAACUGUUGGGGCAGGUUCUAUAUAGGGCCACCACUCCAGGAACUGUUGGGGCAGGUUCUAUAUAGGCCACCACUCCAGGAAC